rnacentral:rRNA from 1 species
CUACGGGUUGCACCAGUGGGGAAUAUUGCACAAUGGACGAAAGUCUGAUGCAGCAACGCCGCGUGGAGGAUGACACAUUUCGGUGCGUAAACUCCUUUUAUAUAGGAAGAUAAUGACGGUACUAUAUGAAUAAGCGCCGGCUAACUCCGUGCCAGCAGCCGCGGUAAUACGGAGGGCGCAAGCGUUACUCGGAAUCACUGGGCGUAAAGAGCGUGUAGGCGGAUAGAUAAGUCAGGAGUGAAAUCCUAUGGCUCAACCAUAGAACUGCUCUUGAAACUGUCUAUCUAGAAUAUGGGAGAGGUAGAUGGAAUUUCUGGUGUAGGGGUAAAAUCCGUAGAGAUCAGAAGGAAUACCGAUUGCGAAGGCGAUCUACUGGAACAUUAUUGACGCUGAGACGCGAAAGCGUGGGGAGCAAACAGGAUUAGAUACCCGCGUAGUC